AAUAGAACAGGCCACUGUGGUAGAGCAGUGAACAGGUGCAGUCCACAUCACCAAGAUUUGCCUCAAGUUUUACCUCAGACAGUGUUGCUGAUAAACUCCCCCGGGAGACUCAACGUUUCUUGCUCCCUAUGGCUCCAGGCACCACCGGGAUGUGAAGAAAUCUUGACAUUAUCAAGAAUAUAAUUGAGACUGGACCUCUCAGUAUAGCGGACAGCACUCAAGCAUUUUUCAGCCACCUCAAAAGAUCUUCCUGUCUUCCUUUAGUACUUUGUACAUACCUCCUGUAAUUUGCACAAAAUGUCUUCAACACAAAUCUAGUUCAUAUAUUUGUGUUUACCUGUAUACACUCCUACAGAAGCAUGUACUGCAAGGCAGGCUGACAGAUAAAAAAUGCAGU